ensembl:lncRNA
GGGGAGGAGGAAGCAGAAGGAACUAAGUAUCAAGAAGUUGACCUCUGUUAUCUUACCGAAUAUGCAAAAUGAGAGCUUGACCCUACAGUCAUAAGAAAUAGGUUUCUGACCCAGCUGUGCCACUUAGCUGACAUAUGACCCUGGAGGGAAGUGACUGCAGAAGCCUCACCUAGGGCACUUCAGACCAGAGUUCCUCAUCAGAGAGCUCUGAGCCCAACUUCUCAGCUGGGAGCCAUGUGCAGAAGUGCUGCACACGACACCAUGAAGACCACAGCUGCAAGCAGUGUGCAGAGAGGCUGUGCGGGACACCUCAGCCCCGAGCUGGUGGGCCACAUGCAGGAGCGCUGAGCACAGCACUGGGGUUCCAGAUGGUGGCCGUAUGCGCUGACGCUGCGCCCAGCACUGCAACCAGAGCCCUGAGCAGCACACCUACACUCACCCUCUCAGCCUCUAUAAAGCAACCCCAUCCCACCACUGGUCGGGGAGAGCCUGUGAUCUACAGCAGGAGCCUCCACCUCUCCAUUCUCUGAUCAAGGCUUUCCUUUGCCUCAGAACCAAACUCAGGCUUGUUCUACUGGCAUGAGCAACACCAGGCAGGAGGAUACUUGUUGGCAUGGGACUCAAGAAUGUCAGUAACUCCUUAGCCGAUGGCAAAGCAUUGAACUAACAAUACGUUCAGGCUCUCCCCUGUUUCACUGAAACCACUUUUGGAAUGAAAUACUCCACUAGAUGAUAAAUACUCCACUAGAUGAUAUCCUUGGGCCUGAUACUGUCACUGCUUAAACUGGCUGAAGAGAGUGAGUUCCCCCCAGCCCCUACCCCGACCUCGUCCCCAUCCUAUAUUGUAAGACCUCUGAAAUCUCCACCUUCCUCAGAGCUUAUCCAGUCCCAGGAUGCCAGCCUUGGGUACCCAGCCCUCUGCAUUACAAUUCAAGCUUUCCACUUUACCUUCAUUGCAUCACUCCCAUGCUCAAAGAAGUCUGAUAGUCCCUAUCGAUUUUUACUAGAUCAAGCUUAAUUUUACUGACUUUCAAGGUCUUUCAUAAAUGAUGUCAUCCCACCUGGUCAGCCUGCUUUAUCACAAUUUGAACAGCUC